CCGGCCGCGGCCCCUGACGCACGCUGCGCCCCGGCCCCCUCCCGGGAGGCGGGCCCCGCCGAGGCAGAGGCGCGGCGACGGGGAGGCGGGGGUGGCGGUGUCUGCGCGCACACGCUCGCUCGCAGACACACACACACACGCACACGCGGGCCACGCCACAGACACACGACACGCACCGAGCCCUGGCCGGGCGCCGCGCGCACUCGCACCCGCGCUCACACUCACACUCACACUCGCGCGCAGGCCCCGCAGCCGCCGCCGCCGCCGGAAGCGGCGCUCGGCCCGGAUCCCGGCUGGGCUGGAGCAGAGGACCUGGGUGAGAAGCUGCUGCCGCCGGAGCUGGACCAGGACCCGAGACCCCAUUGCUCUUGCUGCUGCUGCUGCCGGCUGCCGCCGAGGGGGGCCUCCCUGAGACCAGGCCAGGGAUAGAGCCUUGUGGGCCGGAGGGCCCCCUUAGCCCUCAGACAUCGAGCAGAGACGACUGGCCGCCCUGAGCGCAAUUCAAUUCAACAG
rnacentral:lncRNA from 1 species